rnacentral:rRNA from 1 species
UAGGGAAUCUUCCACAAUGGACGAAAGUCUGAUGGAGCAACGCCGCGUGAGUGAAGAAGGGUUUCGGCUCGUAAAACUCUGUUGUUAAAGAAGAACAUAUCUGAGAGUAACUGUUCAGGUAUUGACGGUAUUUAACCGGAAAGCCACGGCUAACUACGUGCCA